AAAAAAAUAAAUUUUUUCUUAAUUUUCACAAAUAUAAAUUUCAAGUAAAUUUUGCAUCAUGGAUACGCAUCUGAAAAUGCCGUGCACUUUCGAAUAUUCUCAAGGAAAUGGGACUGGAGUAGCAGAAGCGCUUGGAAAUUGGGGAUUUUCAAGCCAAAUCGGCAGCCCUGGUCAAGAACUCCGACGUCUCAAAUGUUUAUUUGCCAAGAUGGACCAAUUGUAAAGAAAAUUCCAGUUGAAUUAUGACUUAAGAUCAUGGAUCAGUCGAUAUAUCGCAACCAUGAGUGCGAGAGACUGCAAUUUUUGAAAGUGAAAUUUUUCCAUACUGUUCGCCCGAUUGAAAUAAUAAUGGAUUUCGAAAAUUCCAAGUGAGGCGAAGCUCGAAACCAACGAUGUGUGUCAGAUAUGACCACAGAAACGAUCCUGAGGCAUGGUACGUCAGGCCAAGUCCUUACGAGUGCAUGCCUGUUUGGACAUUUGCAGAGAAAAGACCGCUCAUCACUUAUUGUUCAACAGCUGACAUCGUUACAGUUUCCGAUAUGAGUAGAAUCAGACCCGAUCUCGCUUCUCCUAUUCCCGGUCGUGGUUUUUUGAUUCAGAAGACGACGGAUAAAUGGUUCAAGAGAGGUCCUGACUGUUGUCCUCAACCUAGUUGCCUCGCUCCCCAAUGCCCAAGACCUUGCUGCUAGUUUCUGCGAGUCAUUCACGAUCAGAUUAUUUUUACCGACUUCUGAAUGUCCUUCAUCAUGAUUUAUCACUUUUUAAAAAAAUGUUGCCGUCUGUAUAAUAUUGAAUAAAUAAAAAUGACGCAAA
rnacentral:misc_RNA from 1 species